UAAUAGGAAAUUAAGAGCGUAUGGUGGAUGCCUAGACUCUAAAAGGCGACGAAGGACGUGGCGUGGCAGCGAUAUGCUUCGGGGAGGUGCCUAGCAACCUUUGAUCCGGAGAUCUCCGAAUGGGGAAACCUUUAUUGCGAUGAGCAAUAAGUUUUUGCCGCAAGGCAGAUUCGCACACCCAGGGAAGUGAAACAUCUCAGUACCUGGAGGAAAAGAGAACAAUCGUAUAUUUCCUUAGUAGCGGCGAGCGAAAAGGAAAGAGCCCAAACUCUGUGCUUCGCACAGAAUAUUUGAAUAUUAAAAUAUUUGAAUAUUCCGUGCGGAGCGCGGGGGGUCAUAAGGUAGCGACGCAUAAUCAGUAUGGAAGAGUUACAAAUUGCAAUGGUAGGUGAAGUUGCUGGAACGCAACGCCACAGAAGGUAACGGCCCUGUAACCGAAAUCAUUGCACCUCUUUAGUCGCUAUUCUUGAGUAAUUCAAGACACGAAUAGCUUGGAUGAAUUUGCCGGAACUAACCGGUAAGGCUAAAUACUUUUAGAGAUCGAUAGUGAACUAGUACCGCGAGGGAAAGGUGAAAAGCAGCCCGGUGAGGGCAGUGAAAGAGACCUGAAACCAUAUGUUUACAAGGAGUCGGAGCCGCCGCACUACACUGCGUUUCGUGCGGAAUUUUAAAUUUAAAAUUUUUAAAUUGAAAAUUCCGGAGCACGGAGCAUAGCGUAGUGCGACGGUGACGGCGUGCCUAUUGAAGAAUGAGCCAACGAGUUAAUGCACGCGGCGGGCUAAGCCCCUACAGGGUGGAGCCAUAGGGAAACCGAGUGUGAACAGCGCGUAUGUCGCCUGCAUUAGACCCGAAGCCGGAUGAGCUUACCAUGAGCAGGCUGAACGAGACCGAAAGGUCUCGGGAGGGCCGAACUGAUUGAUCGUUCAACUUCAUCGGAUGACUUGUGGUAAGGAGUGAAAAGCUAAUCGAAUUCGGUAAUAGCUGGUUCUCUCCGAAAUAGCUUUAGGACUAGCGUCCCAUGUACCUCUUGGGGGUAGAGCACUGGAAGG
rnacentral:rRNA from 1 species